rnacentral:rRNA from 1 species
AGCAGUCGCCGCGGUAAUACGUAGGGUGCAAGCGUUAAUCGGAAUUACUGGGCGUAAAGCGUGCGCAGGCGGUUUGUUAAGACAGAUGUGAAAUCCCCGGGCUCAACCUGGGAACUGCAUUUGUGACUGGCAAGCUAGAGUCUGGCAGAGGGGGGUGGAAUUCCGCGUGUAGCAGUGAAAUGCGUAGAUAUGCGGAGGAACACCGAUGGCGAAGGCAGCCCCCUGGGCCAACACUGACGCUCAUGCACGAAAGCGUGGGGAGCAAACAGGAUUAGAUACCCCAGUAGUCCCUGUCUCUUAUAC